CAACCAAAAUUUCUCUACAAAUUAAAUAACACUUCGAAGAAUCAAAAGCCUGCAUGAAGAGGAAGCAUUAAGUAGGAACCCAACAUCAUAUAUCUUCACAUUAUUCUUUCAAAAUGCGAAUCAAGGUAUGAAAUUUUAAACCCUAUAAUUUUUGCAUUUUGGGGAUUUUUCAAUUCUUGAACUUAGCAUGAAUUUUGUGAAGAAAAAUGUGGAGAAUAUAACUACAUUGAUUGAUGGGAGUUGGAAGAUGUCUUUUGUUUGCCAAAAAUUACGAAAAAACAAAUAAUCCUUACACUUUUUUUUCCUUCGAACCCUGUCAUAGUUGAAACUCGAUUUUGGUCCCCCGCCGUAACUGUAGCUUAGAAAAUGAUGAUUCCCAACUGAAAUUCGUUGAAGUAGUAACCAGUAAAAAAUAGAAAAUAGAAUAGGGAAGGGGAAAACGAGAAAAUAAGAAGAAUGAAGGUGAGAAAAGCUAUUGAUUCAAUUAACAAUUUCACUAAAAUUUUGCAGAAAACAUUACACAGACCCGGCUUCCUCCCACAUGGUUGUACAUAUACAAGUAACUAAAUAUAAAGUCGCGCUUUCCAAACCCAGAAGUAGAAGACAUUUUUUAACAAAUAACAACAAUUUAUUUCAAGUAAAACAACUCCGUAUGGACUUAAUAAAAAAUGACAUCGCAGGCACUUUCAAUUCUAGUUACCGCCAUUGGUUUUUUCUCCUCUAUUUUUCAUCCUCUGUUUUGCUUUUAGACCCUUCUUUCCCCAUUGAUCUCCCUCGUGACAACCCUUUUCCUCACCUUGAUCUUGUCCCCAAGAUCUUUAAACAGGAAACUAGGCCUUAAUCCAAUCAGCAUCUUUCCAUGUCACAUUUUUUGGUGGUAGCAGAUCUGACCAAUGAAUGAGCUAUUGUUCUGCUAUUCGAUUUAUACGCUUCACUAUUUUGUAUUGUAGGAUUGCAAGGAGAUAAUGACCUACCUGUAGUGGCUGCUUUUCUUCAAGGAGUCGUAGGACUGGCAUUAUGUUGUCACCAAGUUUUUUCUUCA
rnacentral:lncRNA from 1 species